AACAACAUGAUAAUCUUUGCAACCAAAACAAAUGGGUGAUAAUCUUUGAACCAGAACCAAAGGGUAACUUGCAACAAGUGCAGAACCAAAUGUAGAUAGAGCGGCAUAAAAUGAUAGGAGAGAGGUGAAGAGAACCAAUAAUAUUAGGGAUGAGUGGUAGAUGUUAUAGGAGAGAGGUGAAGAGAACCAAUAAUAGAUAGAGUGGAUAGAAGGGCCAGUAAAGACAGAUGUGAUAGAAGUAGAGGGAGAUGGAGAGGAGCUGGAGGGCAGCUGCACACCUGUAACACAAA